AUCCCCUCCUUGCACGCCCCUCCAUCCCCCCCACCCGCGGCGGGACUGUCUGUGGAUUUCUCUCCUCUCUCUCUCUGUCUCACACACAUUUUAUUUGAAAGCAUUGAAUAAGUAGCUCAGGCUCUCGCUCAGACUUAAGGGGCUGAUGAACUACGCCCCCCGCCGCAGCCAGCUUUCUCUGCACCCCAAUCCAGCCCGCUCCAGACGUCGGGCUGAGAUUCUGCUAUCACGUAGGCAGUGAGGUUGUGGGGGGAGACGCGAUGCUUCCCUUGAAACCAUCGAGACAGAUGUCCGCGGGUUUUAGGGUGUACCCCCAAGGCAAGCACAUCUGGGGCGUCUCCAAGCAGAUGCUCGCCCUCGGGGGCCGACCAGGAGGCUGCAGCUUUGCGAGGCACCACCGCCCAGAACCAAGGUCCGGGUGGAAGGGUGGGCGGCACCGCUCCUCGGGGGAUGCUCUCCCGACUUCGGAGAGGAAGAAAGGAAGAAAUGCACCCUAGGAAAAACGGGCUUCGACUUUUUGUGCCUAUGCUUUCAUGGAAGUCACCAGCUCUCAGGCUGCUUAAGAUGCUGCUCAGAAGCGCACCCAGACAGGCUGUGGCCAGCCUUGCUAAGUCCGCGUGUCCCGGUCGGCGACCACUUAGGGUAACACCGGGUUACACAAUAGGGUUAGGAGAUAUGCUCGCCAUGCUUACCUGUUGGCAAAAGGGAAAAAAAUGCAAAAUCAAAUUUUAAAUUUGGAAAAUAAUACGUGGUGACAUCUUUUAGAACCACGCACGGCUUUCUUCAGACAAAAGCCAAUUUUACCAUCCCGAAACCCAUGGAGCCCUGGAACUUCCGUUCGCAGCACUUUGGCGCCCUCUGGCUGUGUCGGGACUGCUCGCUUGUUCCGCUUCGUCCCAAAAGAACAGGGGGAAUGGAAAGGCAUGUUGUUCUCUUGGUUGGAUCUACCCUCAGAGAGGAGCAUGAAUUCCGAAGGAGCUUGCCCUCCACGGACGGUCGCGAUGACAAAACAUAACCAUAUUUAAAGAGACAAACGCCAAAGUGAAGUAAUGACGCUGAGAUCAGAUUUGCUUGUUUUUCUCUCUGAGACACGGGACACGCAGGGUUUGACUCUGACGGCUUUGGAGAUCACACAUGCUGUACUGCAGCUGGCUGGUAAAGGCACACAGGUCUCCAGGGCUAGACGUGAACUGGCAGAGAUAAUUGAUCAAGUACCACACUCCAACAACCCAUUGUGUAACUGGAGCUCCACAAAUAAAAUGCAGCUUCUGUACUUCAAAGGCUAACUGGAAGGCUCUUGCAGGAUGCGGGUAGUACUCCUUUCUCCACUGUGCAGGGCUCCUGGCACAAGGAAGACAAGGACCCUGGAGAUUUCUGUGGCAGAGCCGGGGGAUAACUUCAGUGACGGGCCUGCCCAGGCCAGGCUCUGACGUCAGAUGACUCAGGAGGGUGAUGAGUCAGAAGAUGCAGCUUUGGGAGCUGAUUCUGCCACGGCUCACCUUUCAUGAGAACAUCAUUUGAUGUCCGUUCUUCAUAGGAAUGAGACUGUGACGGCUAACCUACCUGUCUUGAAGCUUUGAUACGAAGGAUAUACUCCGUAACUCUGAGUGGAGGAAAGAGAGAAGAUUGUGCUGAGGGACAGGCCCAGGGACUCUCUGCAGACAAUAUUCAUCUUCCCUUCCUCUGGAAUUAAGCCCCCUCAUGCUAUUGCAGCUCUGUCUCCACUUGAGCCUAUGCUGGAUGUGACAUCCUGGCAGGAGAAAAGAUAUUUGAUAAAGACACUCCCUUUUACUAUCAAACCAUUGAGUGAAUGGCCCCAAGGGACUGAAAUUUCCCCAGGAGUCUCAUGCUGGCGGGAGGAAAAGGCUGAAGUCUGGUGCCGAAGGAGGAGCUGGUCUCCCUGGAAGAGACAAACCAUCAGACUGCCUUUCAGGAUCUUGAAGCUGAAAUAGUGAUGACCAGGGGCACAUCUUGACAAGACUGGCUUAGAUAGGAAUACCUCAUGUUAAACCUAAACCUCAUGUCAGGACCCUGAAAGAUGAAUGUGAGGAGUCACUAAACCUCCUUCCUCUUCUCAGCAUGGCUGUACUGUAAGCCUCCCGUCUCUGCUUUUCCCUCUUCCCUGUGUUUUCCGUUUGUCCGUUGAGGAUGAAGGGGCAAGCCUACCUUUAAUAACGGGCUCUCAGGGUCAGCAGAGAGUAACAUGUCCAUGACUCAGGCAACAGGAGCAGCAGGGAAGGAGAAGGCAACUGGGAAUGGAUGAAGGAAGGGUUAUCCGUCAGCCCAGGCAAGAAUCCUGGCAACCGUGAGGAGGGAAAACGAUUUCCUGCAACGGCUUCGUGUGGGAGUGUGUCUCAUGCCAGCUCACUGCAUCCCAUACUGUUGAGCAAAGGCUCUCAACAUCUCCCUUGGUCCACAUUUACCUCCCACUGGGCUGGACAUUUAUCUAUUUCCACACUUUUGUAAGUCUAGAUGUCAAAGUCAACUUAUCAGUGAAACACAACAUCAAGUCAUCCUGAAUGCUAACAAAAGACAGUUAGGGAUACUGGAGAACCCCAGCCCCUGAUGGAUGAUAAAGACAGAAUGCAUAAGGAUUGAACUCAGCAUCCAUUUAGAGAUGUUCUCAAAGCCAGCCUGUACCAGUGGACGGUUUGUUCUGACCUUUGGGCAAAGUUAUUUUGUUCCUGUUUUGUUUUGUUUUUCCCACUUUGAGAUAAGUGAGGAGCUGAUGUUAGAGAGCAGGCUUGUUAGAGCAGGACACCGAUGGAAUCCCCUUGUGGGCGCCACCUUUUGGGACCGCAAGCUCCACUGCAGUCCCCAGCCUCAGAUGGCUGUUUCUUCCUCUGAUGCUGAGCUGGUUUCUGGCCAACAGCUACAGGGAAUCCACCCUUGGCAGAGGACUGAGUCACUCAGGUACUGAGAUGGAGCCGCUUUCGAAAUGCCCAUUAUCACCGAGGAUGUGUGAGGCUAAAAGUACAGGCGACAGGUGUGACCUAAUGUAGCUCCAAACAGAAGCUCACGCGCUUCUCUCACUUGACAAGAAGUUUAGAGACAGGUAAACAGGGCUGUGCGGCUCUCUGCAGUCAUCCCUGCCUUAGAAGACAGUGGUGGUGUAAUAACAAAGACCAGAACCUUGGCCACAUCUCCCUGAGAUUAAGUCCUGUGUUCCUGGGUUAUAAAGAUGCCACGAGUUGUCUACCACCCCAGCCUCAGUUCCUCCUCUGUCAACUAGACAGAAUAAUACCUCCCUUGUGGCCUUGCUGUUAGCAUUAAUUGGCUAAGUCAACCAAGUGCUUAUCUAGAACGCGGCAUGGAAUGAGGACUGUAUGAAUGUUAGUUCUUACAAUUUUUAACCUAUUUGAAGUGUCUUCUUAGCAUUAUAAGACAGUUCCCAAGCAGCAACCUUUCAUGGGGCACAUGGCGAUGGGCAUACCCAGAAACAAAGGAAGGGACAGGACAGAACUGGUGAGAAGUAAUGGUGGCCUGAGCUUCCGGGCGUUCCUCUCUUUAACAGGAAAAUAGUCUUCCCCAGAUCUCCAUCCCUCACUGAUGGAUCCUUAGACUGGUUCACAUGGUAAUUCCCAAGCUGACCCUUGGCAUGCGGAUGCAAUUAUCACAGUUUUAGACUCUAUGUGCUAUCUAGUAUGAUAGCCACCAGCCAUAUAAAGUAUUUUCUAUUUUAUAAGAGAGUGUGUGUGUGUGCCUACAAUGAAGGUGUUUGCUUGUUUGUUUGUGUUUGAAGAUGAGUUAUUUUUAAUGAAGCUUUAUUUUUAUUUCAUGUGUGUGGAUGUUUUGCCUGAAUGUAUUCAUGUUCACCACAUGUGUACAGUGUCCAUGGAGGCCAGAAGAGGGUGUUAGAUCCCCUGGAACUGGAGUGACAGAUGCUUAUGAGCUGCCAUAGAGGUGCUGAGAGCUGAACCUGGGUCUUCUGCAUAGCAAGUAUUCUUGUCUGCCUAGUUAUCUCUCUCCAGCCUGAAAUUUCUCUUUUAAACUAAUUAAAAUUAGGUUUUCAGUUGCUCAGUAACAAAGGCCAAAUGUUAAGGGCUCAUUAGCUCAUAAAGCUGGUAUUCACUGUCAGGGAUGUUAGACAUGUAGACUGAUAACUACCAUGACAAAAUGCUGAGGUGAACAGAGCUGCAAUCAGAUUCACUCCUGGGGCUGGAUGAGGACUGAACUCUCCAAUACCACACUUUCCUGUGGUAUCUGGACAAAAUGGAGGAUAUGUUUACAAACCAGAGGAGGAGGUAGCCUGGGAGCUGGGAAUCAAGAAGGAAGAAAUAGCAGAAGAGAAGACCAGUGUUGUAGUUUGUAUCUUAAAUGUCACUCAAAGGUCUGUGUUGCCUUUCCAUGGUACCAUUGGGAGGUGGCAGCACCUUUAAGAGGCAAGGCUGUGUGGGGGGCGAUCUUCAGGUCAUUGACAGUCUGACCUCUGGGGACAGCACAAGAUCCCAGUCUUUUGUCUGUGGUUUGCUUCCUGGUCAGAGGUGAGCAGCUUUUUUCUACCACAAGCUCCCUGUAUGAGGUAUUACCUUGACCCAGCCCGGAAAAAGAACCAGGCUAAAUCAAUUACAGACUGAGACCUCCAAAAGGAUACAUGGAAACAAAGCUUUUCUCUCUCUCUCCGGUAAUUGUAUUGGGUAGUAAAGCCAAUGCCUGUGAGAACAGAGGGUGUGAUGUUUGUGAAAUCAGUGGAUGUGAUGCUUGUGCGGACAUUGAGUACAAUGCUUGUGUGAACAGUGGGUGUGAUGCUGUGAGAACAUUGAGUGUGAUGUUUGUGAAAUCAGUGGGUGUGAUGCUUGUGCGGACAUUGAGUACAAUGCUUGUGUGAACAGUGGGUGUGAUGCUGUGAGAACAUUGAGUGUGAUGUUUGUGAAAUCAGUGGGUGUGAUGCUUGUGCGGACAUUGAGUACAAUGCUUGUGUGAACAGUGGGUGUGAUGCUGUGAGAACAUUGAGUGUGAUGUUUGUGAAAUCAGUGGGUGUGAUGCUUGUGCGGACAUUGAGUACAAUGCUUGUGUGAACAGUGGGUGUGAUGCUGUGAGAACAUUGAGUGUGAUGCUUGUGAGGACAUUGAGUGUGAACACAGCCUGCAAAUAAGAAGGCCAGAGGAGUGGAGGAUAUAUCUCUGGACUUACAUUUACCAAGCUGGCCUCUGCCUCUGCGGCAUUUCUACACAUGAAGCCAGCUGACCUAAUUGGGGGAGGGGGCGGUAAUCAGGAAGAAAUGAUUAAGAUCCCUUCCACCCAAAUCUGUUUUAGUAACUCAAGGGGGAAAGUGAUGCUUUUUCCUGCCUACACCCUGGCCCUAACGUGGUAAUAAGAUUCUGCAAGUUACCAUGUUGACCAUUUUUAUGACUGUCCCAUAAAAUUUAGCAAUAAAACCCACUUUCUGCCUCACAUAAUCACUGUGAGGUACAGUCCAUCAUGUGCCAAAGCCCCAGGGAAGGAUUACAGAUCUGCCCACACAGUGCAGCAAUGGGAACAUCAUCAUCUUACCCAAAGGCCCUCAGCAGCAGUCAAAGUCCCCAGAGCACCUCAAAUGUGUGACAUGUCGGUUGGCGGCGGCGGCUCCGCAGCUGGAACAGCUAUAAUGGGUGAUGUGCAGUUGUGUACAACCGCAUGUGGGGCACAAGUGAAGGUUAGGAUUGUGCCCAGACAUCCUAGUGCCAAAGGAUGGCAGGCACUCCACCACAUUUUCUUAUCACAAAUAUAGAGAAGCAAAUCUUUUGGAGAUGAGUCAGGAUAAUGGUGCUUGAAGGCAUGCACACAUCAAAAUCACCUGGAAAGCUUCAAUGCACAUCUGUCAUUCCAGCAUGUGGCACUCGGGAGCCAGGAUCAGACAGAGGAUUGUGAGUUCAAGGCCAGCCUGGAACACAUAGUGAGUUCCAGGCUAACCUGGAUUACAUAGAAAACUGUGUCUCCAAAAUAAAAGGAAAGACUACUGAACAGUCAGGAUAUGACAGCAGAUUGUUCCUGCCAGCUCAGGAGCACUGCUUUGAAUGAAUCUCUUCCCAACUCCAUAUUUCAAAAACAUCAUUUGGAAUCUUGAAGUCAGACCUGCAAGAGAACUUAAACCAAUCAGAACUAUAUGGCGUUUGUUCCCGGAAGAACUAGUUACUGAGCUUUUAUCAGAACACCACCAGCUGCUCCCCAUCCUCAGUGUCUCUGACUCAAUAAAUCUUACAUGGAGAUUUUCAUUUCUAUGAAGUUGCUGGGCAAUACUGAUUCUGCUAUUUUGGAAACCACAUCUUGAAAAUCACUUGGAAGAACGUUUGUCAGAACCUUGAGUCAGAGAAUUGAUUCUUCUCUCCUAACUAAAUUGUGAGCCACCAUCAACAAGGAGCAUGCUAAAUGCGGCAGGGGGGAGGGGGAGUUGUCCAAGAAUGUUACAGAUGAUCAGAUAUUGUAGCAUGAAUCUUAAAAGUUUUUAUUAAUAAGAUCAAACCUGAGGCCAGUUAUUGGGGUGAAAUGCUGGAUGGUCAGAGAGACAGAACAAGCCACAGCUAACCUCACCUGGCCAACUUCUCAGCUGGUCUUGUUUCCUCAGACUGGAAGCCUCUGUGUCCUCAUAUCUGAAUAGCUCUCAGCUGAGCUGUGCUGCUAGAAGCCUGAAAGCUUAACCAGCCAAAUGCCUAACCAGCCAAAUGCUGCUAGUUUCUGGUCCUCACGCCUUAUAUACCUUUCUGCUUUCUACUACCACUCCCUGGGAUUAAAGGCUCGCUUUCUGGGAUUAAAGGCAUGUGUCACCAUGCCUGGCCAUUUCCAAUGUGGCCUUGAACUCACAGAGAUCCAGAGGGAUUUCUACUUCUGGAGUGCUAGGAUUAAAGGCGUGUGUGCCACCAUUUUCUAGCCUUUGUAUCUAGUGGCUGUUCUGUCUCUGACCACAGAUAAGUUUAUUAGGGUGUACAACAUUUUGGGGGACAUAAUACCACCACAAGAUAUCAAAUUGAUGCUACUAGGAGCUAAGGCAUACGGAAUACUGACUAAUAGGCCAGCUACUGUUGGAUGCACUCUGGGCAUUGACUCAUCGAACCUCACAGCAUCUCUGGACUGCAGGUCCUCUGAUAUAGUUUCGGCUAAAGCAAAGAGCAGUUCCAUGACUGACCUGUCCAAGUUUGUGAGGAGAGUUGUCAAAAUACAAACAUAGGCACUGUAGUUCCAAGACCAAUAAAUUUAACCACUGCACCACAAAUCACAGAUGA